rnacentral:rRNA from 1 species
AUAGCGUAUAUUAAAGUUGUUGCAGUUAAAAAGCUCGUAGUUGAACUUCAGGCCUGGUCGGGCGGUCCGCUUAACGGCGUGUACUGUCUGACUGGGUCUUACCUCUUGGUGAGCCGGUGUGCCCUUUAUUGGUGUGCAUCGGGGAACCAGGACUUUUACCUUGAGAAAAUUAGAGUGUUCAAAGCAGGCCUAUGUCUGAAUACAUUAGCAUGGAAUAAUAGAAUAGGACGUGCGGUUCUAUUUUGUUGGUUUCUAGAGUCGCCGUAAUGAUUAAUAGGGAUAGUUGGGGGCAUUGGUAUUGAGUCGCUAGAGGUGAAAUUCUUGGAUUGACUGAAGAUGAACUACUG